GGGGAGGGCCCCCUCACUGACAGUCUCUGAAACAUGUCAGAGACAACAAGCAGGACUCUCUUCACUUAGUCCUUCAGGACGGCGUGCCUGCUCUUCUAGCAGAGAGCAGCCAGCAGUAGAGCGCCACCAGUGUUACGGGCCCUCAAGUAUUGUGGGCCCCUCCGAGGCCAGAGCAAUGGAUCGUCCUGGAGAACCUUGCCAUCAACAGCUACAUCGCCAGGUGGAGGGUCAUGACUCCUCCGAUAUGAUCCUCCACCUGAGGGACUACACCCACCUGACCCACUACCUGAGGGACCACACCCACCUGACCCUGAGGGACCACACCCACCUGACCCACUACAUGAGACCACACCCACCUGACCCUGAGGGACCACACCCACCUGACCCUGAGGGACCACACCCACCUGACCCUGAGGGACCACACCCACCUGACCCUGAGGGACCACACCCACCUGACCCUGAGGGACCUGGUAAUCCCAAGGAUAUUUCUUGUUCUCCCUUCAGGGAAGGUUAACUUGGUUACACAACUCAAAGGAAGUAGUGCAAUUGAAAGUGUUGCGGUAGACGAGGAAAACCCUACAAUUCAUGACCCUCUCUCAGACAGACCACAGGAUUUGACCAUACUAAUAUGUCAAGUAACUCAAAAUCCCUGUUUAAAAACUAACUCAAACUUACAUUAGAUGUUCAAUUAUCAAUUAAUGUUUUGUAUAUUCAUUCACGCAUAUUUAUGCAAGUCUGAGUAGGUCCCAGAUGCGCAGGGUUAAGUGUACUUUUGAGUUUGAGAAGAAUUUUGAGAAGGGCUGUUGUGGGUUUAUACAAGGGGGAAUGUACAAGUUUAUAGCUUUAACCAUUUGGUCACCUCUAUGACAUGUUUCAGUAAAUGUAUUCAUCAUUAGUUACUAUUCCAACACUAUACAUGAUUUAUUUUAGUUGUACAAGGAAGACAACUAGAAAAUCUACCUGCAGGGGUCCAUACAUAUGUUGGAGAAAGAUGCAAUACUUCAUUAAAAAAGGUGUGGACACACAGCCUUUACUUUGACUCUUUAUUUAGAUCUAUGGUUUGAAUGUGGCUGGACAGAACAGUAGUAACAAAUACAAACUAAGACUGGUGUUUCAUUGUUCUGUGACAUCACAUACCUAAAACUAGUUUCAACCAGAAGAAAAAAAAAAGCGACAUCAGCUAACAGAAUUUCUGAUACAGAAAAUACAAUUUACGGAAUGAAAACAAAAAAAAUAAACACUGAGCAUUGGAGCGGGCUCUCUAGCGCCUCGCUGUCCUUUGAAUAAUCAGGCCUCAUUACAUCAGAAAUGAAACAUUAUGUAAAGACAAAUCAAAGUUUAUACUGGAAACCAUGAGAAACAUGCUGCAAAGGGAAUGUCUCCCCAACGCUGACGUUGAGGUUUUACUUAACAAUGGUUAAAUCGCAUCGAUGCAUUACUGAAAUAAGGGAUUAAAGUCUGCACUGUAAGAACAAUGUCAUUUUUUUUGCUUAAAACUUACAACCCAACGGUUUGACA